rnacentral:rRNA from 1 species
UACGGAGGGGGCUAGCGUUGUUCGGAAUUACUGGGCGUAAAGCGCACGUAGGCGGCUUUGUAAGUUAGAGGUGAAAGCCCAGGGCUUAACCCUGGAAUUGCCUUUAAGACUGCAUCGCUAGAAUCGUGGAGAGGUGAGUGGAAUUCCGAGUGUAGAGGUGAAAUUCGUAGAUAUUCGGAAGAACACCAGUGGCGAAGGCGGCUUACUGGCCCAUUACUGACGCUGAGGCUCGAAAGCGUGGGGAGCAAACAGG